rnacentral:rRNA from 1 species
GACGAACCGAGCGAACGUUGUUCGGAAUCACUGGGCUUAAAGGGCGCGUAGGCGGGCGAUCAAGUCAGGGGUGAAAGCCCCCAGCUCAACUGGGGAAGUGCCUCUGAUACUGAUCGUCUCGAGGGGGAUAGGGGCGUGCGGAACUUCCGGUGGAGCGGUGAAAUGCGUAGAUAUCGGAAGGAACACCGGUGGCGAAAGCGGCGCGCUGGAUCGCUUCUGACGCUGAGGCGCGAAAGCCAGGGGAGCAAACGGG